rnacentral:rRNA from 1 species
UUUUAAGAGAGUUUGAUUCUGGCUCAGGAUGAACGCUGGCGGCACGGAUAAGUCAUGCAAGUCGAACGAUGCAAGGUAGCAAUACUUUGUAUAGUGGCGAACGAGUUAGUAACACCUUGGUACGUACUCCGAAGUUGGGCAUAACUCGCCGAAAGGCGAAUUAAUUCCCGAUGGUCUCGUAAGAGUAAAGUCGCAAGACGCUUCGGAAGCGGCCUAGGUCCUAUCAGCUUGUUGGCGGGGUAAUGGCCCACCAAGGCUAUGACGGGUAGGGGGUGUGAGAGCACGACCCUCAACGAUGGAACUGAGAAACGGUCCAUACACCUACGGGUGGCAGCAGACGAGAAUAUUCGACAAUGGGCGAAAGCCUGAUCGAGCGAUGCCGCGUGCGGGAAGAAGGGCUUCGGCCUGUAAACCGCUUUUGUCAGGGAAGAAUUUUGACGGUACCUGAAGAAUAAGGGGUUGCUAACCUCGUGCCAGCAGCAGCGGUAAUACGAGGACCCCAAGCGUUAUCCGGAAUUACUGGGCGUAAAGAGUGAGUAGCCGGUUUUGUUAGUCUGAUGUUAAAUCUUGAGGCUCAACUUCGAGACCGCAUUGGAAACGGCAAGACUAGAGUGGGUAAGAGGCAGACGG